CCAAAAUCACUCUGUCCCUCUAAAAUCUCUCAGAAAAUCGCAAAAGUGUAUUGAAUUGUAUCGUUUGCUGAAUAUAGCAAUAUAUAUAUCGUAUUGUGAGCAGAAUAUCGUGUAUCAUAUCGUGAGAUUAUUGUAUCACUACAGCCCUAAAAGUUGGGUAGUAAUU